CUUGUGCAGUAAACAAGUGUGAGUACUGAGCCUGCAUAUCUUCUUCUCUCUCCCAAGUACCUUCUUUUCUAGAGUGGUUGCUCCAAUGAACCUUAACGAAUGGGAUGACUUUGUUCCUCAAGACUUUCUCUUCUUUGUCAAUAAUUUCCGCUGGUUCUUCUUCAUAAGUCAAGUCUUCUCUCAACUCAAUUGGUUGCUUCUGGAGAACAUGAGAGGGAAAUGACAAGGUGGAGAAUUUAGCUGAAAUCAUAGUGGCUUUUUUUUUUUUUUAAUCAUGGCU
rnacentral:misc_RNA from 1 species